UACGUAGGGGGCAAGCGUUAUCCGGAAUUACUGGGUGUAAAGGGAGCGUAGACGGUAAUGUAAGUCUGGAGUGAAAGGCGGGGGCCCAACCCCCGGACUGCUCUGGAAACUAUGUUACUAGAGUGCAGGAGAGGUAAGCGGAAUUCCUAGUGUAGCGGUGGAAUGCGUAGAUAUUAGGAGGAACACCAGUGGCGAAGGCGGCUUACUGGACUGUAACUGACGUUGAGGCUCGAAAGCGUGGGGAGCAAACAGG
rnacentral:rRNA from 1 species